AUCAAAAGCUGCAUACAUACAUACAAGUACGACGGCUUCUGAUUCAUUUAUUUUUUAUGUUGAAGUUUGUGUAGAUACAUAAAUAAACCGCAUACAAAAUGGGUCUCAAACUGAAAUUCAACCUGCUAAACCUAGCCAAUUUCACGGUUCAGCUAAAAUUUCUGGUUACCGUUAUCGAAGCAGUGAUCGUGACGACAGGGGCGUUCGCAUUGGAGGACGGAUUUCUCUCUUACUUCAUUGUGAACUGCUUGGCAUUUUCAGUAACGGGAUUGCUGUUUAUCGCCAGUGCGUUCGACCUGCUUAAAACUCAGGAGGAUAUGCGACAAUUUGUGAGUCGUAUUUACAUUUUUACACACUUCGAAAAAAAGUGAUGCCAGAUUCCACAAAGCUGUCGCGGUUCUUCUCAUCUUUUCUGGAUUUAUUGGUAUCAUAUUCCCGAGCUACCGUUGGGGAGAAAAUUUUCGAAUUUGUGCAUAUAUUCUCGGGUUCGUUUUGGCAGCCCCGUUAAACUUUUUGAUUAGCUGGCAAUCCGCUGGGUAUCAUAGCACGGAACAGCUUCGACGGUCUGGCACUAAUUUCUACUGCUACUGCGGAUGUAGAGACGAUCCAGGAGAUCACGAUUUGGAUGAAGUCCUUACUCCGGCUCCGCCAAGGUAUUCCGAAUCUGGGUUUCCGAGCCGGGGAAAAUAUAACGACAGUGGCCCGAUCGUCCCUCUGCCAGCGUCCCAUUCGGUGGGGGCGAACCAAUUCGUGUGAAAAAACGCGGAUCAGGAAUCUGUACUACGGAAAAUGUGUGAUUGAAUUUGUGAUGUGAUUGUUAUUUAUAAAUCCAGUAUUAAACUCAACGCUACAUAAAUUAGACUGUUUGCAAAUAUGUAGUAUUUACCAAGUAACAAAGUUAUUAUUUAAACUUGAGUGUGCUUACACUCCAAAUAAUUUGGAGACACAUCCUCACCCGCGGUAUGUACUAUCUUUUAGCUAUUUUUUGGUAAUGAAUCAUUACUAAUGAUUAAGCCACUAAUUGGUGACAAAACGUCUCAGUAAUCAUCGCCCAAAAAUAGAGCUCUAUAAAUAGUACCUCCUAAGGUGAUGAUUUGUCUAGGAAUUAUUUAGAGUGUUCAUUUUUGAACGAUUUUUUCGUUGUGGUUCCUCUCAACGAAAAAUACUUAAAGUUAUUUUUUAUUUCUAACCGUAUUUACAUACAUUCAUAUGUAAGUAGUUCCACGUGCGUGAACAAAUGUCGGGACAUUGUGUAAGAGAAAAUAUUUAUAUACGAAUUUAUGUAUGUUUGAAUAUCCAAACUACGAACUUAGGUACCUAUGUAUGUAUUUACAUGCAUAAUAUUGUGUUACAUUGUAUUGUAUACGUACAUAAACCUAAUACAUAAAUAUCUAAAGGUUAAUUGAAGCUACAUAAAUAAGCACGAAUUAUUAAUGAUGAUGGCCUCUGGCCAUAUCAUAUUUCCAUAAAUUGACUGAUUGAUUGAUUGAGAAUAAAAAGAAAUUUUAUUCAAUAA